AGGCACGUAGCUCAGGGGGAGAGCGCUACCUUGACACGGUAGAAGUCGGCGGUUCAAAACCGCCCGUGCCUACCA
rnacentral:tRNA from 1 species